rnacentral:rRNA from 1 species
GACGAACGCUGGCGGCGUGCUUAACACAUGCAAGUCGAACGGAAAGGCCCUGCUUGCAGGGUACUCGAGUGGCGAACGGGUGAGUAACACGUGGGUGAUCUGCCCUGCACUUCGGGAUAAGCUUGGGAAACUGGGUCUAAUACCGGAUAGGAACCAUCUUUAGUGUGGUGGUUGGAAAGUUUUUUCGGUGUAGGAUGAGCUCGCGGCCUAUCAGCUUGUUGGUGGGGUAAAGGCCUACCAAGGCGGCGACGGGUAGCCGGCCUGAGAGGGUGUACGGCCACAUUGGGACUGAGAUACGGCCCAGACUCCUACGGGAGGCAGCAGUGGGGAAUAUUGCACAAUGGGCGCAAGCCUGAUGCAGCGACGCCGCGUGGGGGAUGAAGGCCUUCGGGUUGUAAACUCCUCUCGCUAGGGACGAAGCUUUGUUGUGACGGUACCUAGAUAAGAAGCACCGGCUAACUACGUG